CCCAUCAUCACUGACACCCCCAUAGACCCCCCCAUCAUCAAGUGACAUCCUCAGGGGACCUCUUUGGUGACAUCAUCAUGAGAUGUCAUCAGGUGACAUCAUUAGGUGACAUCUUUUGGUGACAUCAUAAAGGAACAUCAUCAAGGGAAAUCUUUGGUGACAUCAUCCAAGGGACAUCAUCAGAUGACAUCAUCAGAUGACAUCAUCAGGAGAUCAGCGGGUGAAAUGUUUGGGUGCCAUCAUUAAGUGACAUCAUUAUGUGACAUCUUCAGGCGACAUCUUUGGGGACAUCAUCAGAUGACAUCAUCAGGUGACAUCUCCCCAUGACGUCAUGAGGGGACAUCAUCGACAUCUUUCGGUGACAUCAUAAAGGGACAAUAUCAGGUGACAUCGCCAGGGGAAAUAUUUAGGUGACCUCAUCAGGUGACGUCACCUAAUGACUUCAUCGAUAUCAUCUGGUGAAAUCUUUAGGUGACAUCAUUAAGGAACAUCAUCAGGUGCAUCUUUUAAACUGCAGCUUUACAAACUAACACUUCAUUUGUUUUUCAUUGAAGUGAUUUUAAAGCUUCAGACCAAUCAGCACCACAGACAGGGACAUCAGUGCUUCUCUGUGCAGCAGGUUUGGGCUCACAGCUGCAGUCGCACUCCGAGGAAAGACGAUACUCACAACAGUAGUCGGAGGUCAGGGAAGCGUGACCGAAGCCAGUUGCUGAGUUGACCUCCAACCUCUGCAAGGGAGGGAGGGGUGAGGAGGGGUGAGGAGGGGUGAGGAGGGGUGAGGAGGAGCCUCUUUUGUGUAAAACUACAGUAGACUCUGUCCAAUGUCACUGAAGUACAGAUGG
ensembl:lncRNA